GCAAAUGUGAGAUGCAGUGUAUGGAGCGUCSAUAUUCUAGUAUGAGAAAUUAAUGAUUUAAGUCCUUCUUAAAUGAGGCCAUUUACCCAUAGAGGGUGCCAGGCCCGUAUAACGUUAAUGAUUACUAGAUGAUGUUUCCAAAGAGUCGUGUUGCUUGAUAGUGCAGCACUAAGUGGGUGGUAAACUCCAUCUAAAACUAAAUAUAACCAUGAGACCGAUAGUAAACAAGUACCGUGAGGGAAAGUUGAAAAGAACUCUGAAUAGAGAGUUAAACAGUACGUGAAACUGCUUAGAGGUUAAGCCCGAUGAACCUGAAUAUCCGUUAUGGAAAAUUCAUCAUUAGAAUUGUAAUAUUUAAAUAAUAUUAUGAUAAUAGUGUGCAUUUUUUCCAUAUAAGGACAUUGUAAUCUAUUAGCAUAACAUGAUUUAUCAUAAAAUAUGGCUUAUAGUUUAUUCAAAUUAUUAUGCUUGCAUUUUAACAUAGAAUAAAUGUCAUUAAUUUGAUAAAGUGCUGAUAGAUUUAUAUGACUACAGUGCGUUAAUUUUUCGGAAUUAUAUAAUGGCAUAAUUAUCAUUGAUUUUUGUGUUUAUUAUAUGCACUUGUACGAUUAACAAUGCGAAAGAUUCAGGAUACCUUCGG
rnacentral:rRNA from 1 species